rnacentral:rRNA from 1 species
CUACGGGUGGCUCCAGUGAGGAAUAUUGCACAAUGGGCGCAAGCCUGAUGCAGCCAUGCCGCGUGUAUGAAGAAGGCCUUCGGGUUGUAAAGUACUUUCAGCGGGGAGGAAGGGAGUAAAGUUAAUACCUUUGCUCAUUGACGUUACCCGCAGAAGAAGCACCGGCUAACUCCGUGCCAGCAGCCGCAGUAAUACGGAGGGUGCAAGCGUUAAUCGGAAUUACUGGGCGUAAAGCGCACGCAGGCGGUUUGUUAAGUCAGAUGUGAAAUCCCCGGGCUCAACCUGGGAACUGCAUCUGAUACUGGCAAGCUUGAGUCUCGGAGAGGGGGGUAGAAUUCCAGGUGUAGCGGUGAAAUGCGUAGAGAUCUGGAGGAAUACCGGUGGCGAAGGCGGCCCCCUGGACGAAGACUGACGCUCAGGUGCGAAAGCGUGGGGAGCAAACAGGAUUAGAUACCCCCGUAGUC